CUCUGUGAUGAAUGGCACUGGGCGCCGACAGUCAAAACUUGGCUGGUCUUGAUGGAAAAGCCCUAUCGCGGCAGGCCUAGAAAACCUCGCCCACUGAUU
rnacentral:snoRNA from 1 species